UACGUAGGGGGCGAGCGUUGUCCGGAAUUAUUGGGCGUAAAGGGCGUGUAGGCGGCCGAUCAAGUCAGGUGUGAAAUUCCAGGGCUCAACCCUGGACGUGCACUUGAAACUGGUUGGCUUGAGUGCAGAAGAGGAAAGUGGAAUUCCCAGUGUAGCGGUGAAAUGCGUAGAUAUUGGGAGGAACACCAGUGGCGAAGGCGACUUUCUGGACUGUAACUGACGCUGAGGCGCGAAAGCUAGGGGAGCAAACAGG
rnacentral:rRNA from 1 species